UUGUACUGACGAUGACCAUUUUUAUUUCCAGGCCAACGCUCUCAGGCAUGUCAUCUCGCAAACAGGGGGUUUCUCAGACGGUCUUAGUGGACAGUCUGCGGCAAUGUACGAUCCCAGCAUGCAUCAGGCAACGGAGCUUCACCCCUAGUUGAAGUUGAAGAGCGGCUAGCCGAAACCGAACGUUGGCUGUUUCGACACAUCGUGCCAGUCCGAAAUGUGUAUCCAAAACGAAAAUAAACAAAACAGCAACACGAAAAUAAAUAAAAAAAAUCAGCCGCCCUCGAUACAUCUGCGGAAGUCUCACGUCUGGACCAGAGUGGCUCCCACCUGGAGGCGGGUGAGCCAUCACAUCUGAUCUCUGAGGAUGUGUCCGAAUUUUUGUACAGAAAAACAUCAAUCAAUCUCUCUCUCUCUGUACAGAUCACAUGUUGGACGGGUAAUGUCUUCUCCCGUACAUCUGUACGUUUGUCCAAUCGUCCGCUAUUAUCAAUGUCAGCCGUCCACUGUGGUGGGCAAUAUGGCGUCAUCAUUUUGGAUCUCGACUGUUAUUUGUUCAUUAUUUUGAGUUAUACUACUGCCAGGGGGGAUAAUAUUGGAGCUGUUAUUGAUUUUUUGAGAAUAGGGUUGGAUUUCUAACUCUUUAUGCAAUAAAUCAGUUGAGAAGAAAGGAACACAAAAGAGGUAACUGCUACCUCGGAAAUUCUCUCAUUCUCAUUAUCUAUCUCUCGCCUGGUGGUGUAGUUAGGCUGUUUGUACAUUGAUAUUUCACCCUGUAUAAACUUGUAACCUGUACAGAAACGUGUUCCCAAAUUCCUCUUACCCCCUAAGAAGAAAAAAAAAAGCUGGAAAAACAAUUAGUUCUCCACCGUGUCUGUAGUCAAUAAAAAGGUAUUUUUCCCUUUCAACAAA